UCGGAACCAUGCUCAAGGUUGUUCUUGUGAUUUUAUUAGUAAAAUUAUUCAAUUUGCAGCAUAUUUUCCAUGAUGCGAUUAGCCUUCAUAGCAACUGAGAAUGGGCUUCAAAAUCCAAUCACAUGUCCACUAUGGAAGGCACUUUGAUAUAAGCAGUCUUGCCACAUGCAAUUACACUGAAACUGCACGCAAGCAGUGCUCUCAGCAAGGCAGGAGCUACACUUGCCAGCUAAAACUUUCAUUUUUGUAUGUGUUUUUUUUUUCAAUGCAAAGUGUGGAAAACUUUUACCAUGUAUAAUUAUCAGAGUAAGAUUGUGAUCAUAACUUAAAAUGUAAAUACACAUUAAAGUUGCCAGGUACCUGGAGUGUCACUUUAAAGUCGGUAACACCCAUAAUUAUGACUAGUAAAGGAUGUUACCUAGGUUCACCUGUGCUGAAUAACACACGUUCACAAUAUGCAAGCAGCAUCUGAACGUAAAGUUCUAAAUGAUCUUAAAAUGUUCUGUAGGUAAAAGAGCCACAUGCAGCUCCUGGGCCACAGAGACUGCAUUGCUUGGCCCAAAUCACAGUAGAAGCACAUAGAGAAUACAAUAAAAUGAUCAUGUGCAGUUUAUUCUUGUGAGGGUAUAAAAACGAUGCUACACUGUAUAUAUAAAACAUUUCCCAUGCAGAGUUUGGAUUCAUUGUGGGUUAUGGACAAAUGACCCAUUCUUGAACAAAGUUCUAAAUGUUAAUUUGCCCCCAACAGAAUCCAAAGCAAUGUUUCUGCUGGCUGAUGCACAUGUGAAACUUUGCAUCAAAAAACAAAUAAUGUUCCUUUACACAUAACCAUUAUUAACCCCUCUGUAAUAAAAGACCUAUUUUGAGCAGAAUACAAUAUAUUCUUUAAAAUACAUGCAAUCAGCCUAUUUCACCAUUCCUUUAAAGGCUUUUGCAGAUCAAUUCAUCUAAAAACGUCUAUUAAAAAGGCUCGGUGCUCUCCUCCAUCUCUUCUUGAAGAGAGCGCUGUAGGACGUCGCAAUAAAACUGCCAGCCCGACCCUUACCACCUCUCUACCCAGCAAUCACGGUGUGCUGUAGUGGUCGGACAGUAGUCAUCAGGCAAUAUAGGCACAUUGUACCACUGUGAGCACAAUGCUCUGGCAUUAGAUAUCUUCGGGGUGGAGAACUUCACCCGCCGUCUGAGGUAUAGUAAAAAUCGCUCCUGGAAAGGCAAAACAAGAAAUAUAGGGUUUAAGGAUACCAAACAGUUCUAGGGCAGAGUUCUAAAAGGGAG